CGACGACCGAGUAAGAUAUGUCGGUUCUCUCUCUCUCUCUCUCUCUGCGCGUAUAAAAUAGACCCAAAAGCCAUAGAUCUCAAAGAAAGAAAAAGCCAUAGAUCUGGAUCUCGAAACCCCCAAUUCCAUUUGAGCUUGAUCAUUAUGACCCUGUACUUGAGACAUAUAUCGGAUUUGGACCUGGACGAUCCCCGACGGCGGGAGCCGCCAGCAGACGAGUCGCUGCGGUAUUUAUGGGAGACGGGUCGUGUCGCGGUUUCAUUGUUAGAAUUGUUUUCCUUACAUGAAAAACGAUGCAACAACGCACAAGAACCAAACCCUCGUGACUGUACGCCUCGGGCGGAACAACAAAAACAAAGUCGCCGACGCCGACGCCUAAUUCAUGAAUGUAUUAAUAGGGAGCUUCCUCUUUCAAAGAGACAUGCAAAGGGACUUGGUUAUCAUCCUCGCACAAUGGGUGUUGAUACUAAUGACUCUCAUGCAAAACCUUCUACUCAUUCUGCUGUCACGUCCUGUAACUGCUGUGGUAUCACCCACUGGCGUCGACAUUGUCCAAAUCGUGAUCAACGUGCUCCAGUAUUGGGAUCAGAAACAAAAUCAAAAUCUGCUGCUGGCAGCGACAGAAGUUCACGUGAGAUCAAGGAAUGAUCCCCACUUUCCACCCUUUGUAACCCGUGUUUACUUUGCUCUAUCUAUAUGGUGACUCAGUGCGUGGAGAGAGAGGAUUUGUUUGUGGAACUCUCGUUAGAUGUUAUGUAUUUGUAUGGUGACUCAGUGUUUACUUUGCUCUAUCUAUAUAGUGACUCAGUGCGUGGAGAGAGAGGAUUUGUUUCUGGAACUCUCGUUAGAUGUUAUGUAUUUGUAUGGUGACUCGUGUGUUUACUUUGCUCUAUCUAUAUGGUGACUCGUGUGUUUACUUUGCUCUAUCUAUAUAGUGACUCAGUGUGUGGAGAGAGAGGAUUUGUUUC